AUGGCAGUCGUCAGCUCGUGUCGUGAGAUGUUGGGUUAAGUCCCGCAACGAGCGCAACCCUUGUCCUUAGUUGCCAGCACAUUAUGGUGGGAACUCUAGGGAGACUGCCGGUGACAAACCGGAGGAAAGUGGGGACGACGUCAAGUCAUCAUGGCCCUUAUAGGCAGGGCUACACACGUGCUACAAUGGGGAGUACAGAGGGCCGCCAACCAGCGAUGGUGAGCCAAUCCCUUAAAGCUUCUCGUAGUCCGGAUCGGAGUCUGCAACUCGACUCCGUGAAGUCGGAAUCGCUAGUAAUCGCGAAUCAGAAUGUCGCGGUGAAUACG
rnacentral:rRNA from 1 species